AAAAAACAAAGAACAGAUCCUGACAGAGGACUCGAUUGGGGAAAGGUAAGUUCGGCAUGACGGUGCCACUUUAACCAUAUCGCAAUACAUGAGAGUGAUCUCAACAAUUGAAUACUACAAUUAAAUUAAAUGACCAAAAUAUUCAUAGCUAGCGGACACCGUCCCCAAACAUUGGUGAAAGCUAAACAAAAAGCCGUUGAAAGUUGGACCCGGCAGAAUGAAGAAAAUAGAUCCAAUACUG
rnacentral:lncRNA from 1 species